UUAAGAGAAAUUCUCUUUGGCUCUGUUUGGCAAUGGUAUUGUGUCAUAGGGGAUAAAUUUUUUUAUCCUUGGUAUAUUUCAAUAUUCUAGAAUAGAGAGGAAUACCAAUAAUUUUUUGUUUGGAUGGAGUAAAGUGGGAGUGCGGGAGUCGAGGCGUCAUAAAUAGAGAGUGCGUGGGUCGAGGCAUCAUAAAAAGAAGGAAAAAAAUCACUUGUUUAUUGCUCCACCUUUGAAUUCAUCAGGAAUAAAUUUUAUUCUACAGGUGGGAGAGAAUAUGAUUAACGGGUUAUUCUAGGAUCAACUAGAAUAACCCGCUUUGACUAGAAUAAAUUAUACUUGA
rnacentral:lncRNA from 1 species